rnacentral:misc_RNA from 1 species
GAUGAAGAACGUAGCGAAAUGCGAUAAGUAGUGUGAAUUGCAGAAUUCAGUGAAUCAUCGAAUCUUUGAACGCACAUUGCGCCCUUUGGUAUUCCUUAGGGCAUGCCUGUUCGAGCGUCAUUUAAACCUUCAAGCUAAGCUUGGUGUUGGGUGACUGUCCGCUUCACGGCGGACUCGCCUCAAAAUUAUUGGCGGCCGGUACAUUGGCUUCGAGCGCAGCAGAAACGCGAACUCGGGCCCGUCGUAUUGGCUCCCAGAAGCUAUCUUCACAAUUUUGACCUCGGAUCAGGUAGGGAUACCCGCUGAACUUAAGCAUAUAAAUAAGCGGAGGA